CGCUCACCCAGUCUCCACUCCUUCUAAAAAUUGUUAAAAACCCACUUCUUCAUAAAAGCGUAUCAAUUAAACUGUUAAUAGCUCCUGACGGAUUCCUCUUCUGCAACUGUCACUAGUCUAAUACUAUCCUUACCUUCUGUGUCAUUUUACCCCACUCCUUCUAGCAUGUAAGCUCAUUGAGCAGGGCCCUCAACCCCUCUGUUCCUGUGUGUCCAACUUGUCUGGCUACAACUACAUGUCUGUUUGUCCACCCAUUGUAAAGCGCUGUGGAAUUUGAU